AUUGAACGCUGGCGGCAGGCCUAACACCUGCAAGUCGAGCGAGCUGCGGACGGGUGAGUAAUGCCUGGGAAACUGCCUGAUGGAGGGGGAUCACUACUGGAAACGGUAGCUAAUACCGCAUACCAUCGGAUGUGCCCAGAUGGGCUGAGCUAGUAGGUGGGGUAAAGGCUCACCUAGGCGCCGAUCCCUAGCUGGUCUGAGAGGAUGACAAGCCACAAUGGAACUGAGACACGGUCCAGACUCCUACGCGGGGCAGCAGUGGGGAAUAUUGCACAAGUGGCGCAAGCCUGAUGCAGCCAUGCCGCGUGUAUGAAGAAGGCCUUCGGGUUGUAAAGUACUUUCAGCGGGGAGGCGUUACCCGCAGAAGAAGCACCGGCUAACUCCGUGCCAGCAGCCGCGGUAAUAC
rnacentral:rRNA from 1 species